AGCGAACGCUGGCGGCGUGCGUAACACAUGCAAGUCGAGCGAAGGUGUUUCAAGGGUAACCUUGAGAUACACUUAGCGGCGGACGGGUGAGUAAUACGUGGAUAACUUACCUCUAGGCCUGGGAUAACCCCGGGAAACUGGGGCUAAUACCUGAUAAGACCACAUUGUCUACGGACAAAGGGGUAAAAGGUGGCUGUGCAAACAGCUAUCGCCAAAAGAUAGGUUCACGUCCCAUCAGGCAGUGGUGAGGUAAUGGCUCACCAAACCAAAGACGGGUAGCCGGCCUUGGCGGGUGAACGGCCACACGGGGACUGAGACACGGCCCCGACUCCUACGGGAGGCAGCAGUGGGGAAUAUUGGGCAAUGGGCGCAAGCCUGACCCAGCGACGUCGCGUUGGGGAAGAAGGCC
rnacentral:rRNA from 1 species